UAAUAUUAUGUAUCUGUAUCCAUAUAUAAAAGGACUCCCCAACUCCUGCAACUCUAAUUUGUUAUCCAUGUUAGGAAUGUCGUUAAAAACCAAUUGAGGAUAGAUAUAGGCACGAUGGAUGUUUGGUGUAAUUUUCACCAUUUCAUAAACAUUUCCAUGAUUCUUCCCAGAAGUUUCUAGAGGGAGAUUAUCCCAAAUAGCGGGUAGUUGGAUUGGGGGAUUUCACGGUGGAAAAAGAUGGUGGUGUGGCGAACAGUAAAGGGAAUGAGGCGAGCAUGAUGAGGAAUCUGGCAAGGUCAUCGGAGAAGAGAGCGGAGCAGAGGUUGCUGAAGAUGGCGGUGCUGGGCCUGAUGUAGCCUUUUAAGAUGCCAAAGACUAGGCCAUGGUUGCGGCGGAAGUUGUGGAUGCAUGUUGCUAACAGCAUCGUGUUCAUGCAUGUCGUGUUGCUGCCUCUCAUACACAGGAAUAUGCACAUCUGAAACUCAACGUCUUCUCAGUGAACCAGCUUGGAUUUCAUGGAUCCUGACAGUACUCCGGCUAGCCAUGGAAUCAAGAUACAUCGAAGCUAUAUUACUGACAGCAGUUCAUGUGAUACUAUUGGAUUAUGGAACAAUCAUGGAAAUGGAGAAAUGUCAUGGUAAACCAAUGCUAGCAUCUGGGAAAAUAUGCAUUAAUGAUGACAAAUGACAAAAUUUACUUGAACAUUUUUUUUUGCUAAUUUUUUUGACAUCAGAACUGUUAAGUGAAGCUUUCCCAUUAUAUAAGAAACAGUGUUCCAAAGGCUGUUGUUUUAGGAAGUUGAGUUGACGAUUUCGAGAUUUGGUGAGAGACCAAAAUGGGAAGCCUAGGAGAGGAAGAGCUGGUUCAAAUGGAAGUUCUAGGGAAACACAUGGAUGAGGAGGCUAAUACAUGAGAAGAUAUUAAUGUAUUUGAAAGAUAUGGGAACUGCUGGGCAUCAUACAAGCAAUUUGAAGAAGUUGGUAGUGAUGAAACUGAGAAACGAUGGUUAUGAAGCUAUCUUUGCAAAACUUCAUGGGUCUGUAAUUUUAGCCAUAACAAAGGGGUACAGGUUUGCUGUGAACAGGCCAGCCUAUUUCUAUUGGUAGUCAUGGCACUUCAUUGCAGGGCGUGUCCCAUGAGGGGCUGGUCAGAUUCUCGAUAUUGGGUCAUUGUUUUUCCUUAUGGAACAUUAACUUCAUCAGUGGUGGCUUGUGUACAAGCCAUGGUGGGGCUUGGAGUCGCGUCACUUCCUGUUAUGUCAAGAAAACAAGAGGGGUGGAAGUGGAGUUGGCUGUUGCUUACCUCUGGGGUCCCUCUUCUCUCAUUUGUUGACCUUAAAAUGGUUUGAUGCAACGACCCAAAGGCCAUCAACUGUUUACCAGACAUACCAUGAGUGAUUGUGGAGUUUAUCUUCUGUGCUGAGGAACAAAUAAAAAUGCAAAGGAGAUGAUAUUGUUUUGGAAGGAAAGAGUUUUGAUGUUACAUCUGAAAACGAUACUGUUUCAGAAGGAAAGAUUAUUGAUCUUGCAUCAGAAAUGAUAAUGUUUUGGAAGGAAAGAGGGUUUGAUCCUGCAUCAGAAAAUGGUACUGUUUUGGAAGGAAAUAGCACUGAAACUAUAGAUCAGCUUGCUAUAGAGGAGGGAACAGAACACACUACUAUUCCGAUUGGAGAUCAAUCUCCUCGAUUAUCAUUCAAUCACCACCGUUAUCAACAGUUGUGCUGGCGUCUUCAACCUCACCUCUCCCUGCAUUGUCAACCAAGUUUUCGACCCUCAGGUAUAUGCGUACUCGCUAAAUCCAAUUAGUAUUAUUUCAGCUUUAAUAACAGAUCAUCUAUUACUCUGAUGUUUGUUGGUACUGUGUUGGUGGCUAGAUAUUUGUUGCCAUUAGAUGAACCCAAAAGAAACUUUUUUCUUUCUUUUUUUUAAAAUUUUUUUAUUAUUGUAUAUGUAGUAGAUUCUGCCUUUCAUUGAAAAGGGGUUAUUCUUUUGUUUUUAUCUUCUUUUGAUGCCCAUGUGAGAUGGGGUUUUGAACUUCACAUUUCAUAAUCCUGUUGAGCCAUUGUUUAAAAGCAUCAAUAAAUGAAGAGUAUGACCCUGAUUGUCAAGUGUGGUAUUGAAAUGGAUGUUUAUUGGAACAAUUUAUCUACCACAUUAAUCUUUAUUUAGAUAUAUAAUCAAGUUGAAAAAGUUUUUGUAUCCAGUUUUGCAUUGUUGGGAUGCACCUGUGCCAUUUUAACCCUUCCCUCUUUCAUAGAAUGAAAAAAUAAAUACAUCUCAUAACCUUGACAUAGGCAUCUUAAGUGAUUUUAAUUUGUUUACAAAACACAUUCCUUGAUGCUUACAUAUAACAGAUAAUACUGUCUUUCUUGGGUCCUAUACUAGGUAAAUUAUCAUAUCACAGGACAAUGUUGGCAUUUUUAAAUUAUACUAUUAAAUGUAUACAAACUUCUUUUUGCUCUAUUGAAGCUUUCUUUAUAUUUCAAAAAGAAGAAAAAGGAUUAAAAAUGCUUCAGAUGUUGGCAGUUCUUUUUAAGGUUUUCACAUUUCUUGGAUAAGUCUAUGGCUGAUUGUGAACUUGACUGGAGUCACCCAUGUGGUUUGGCCUUAUGCUUGCUAAUUUAUGAGGGAAAUUAGCAUUGGUGAUAGCAGCACAGAAAGUCUUUAUAUUGAAUUUGUUUAUGAUGAUUUGUCAAUAGUUCAAUUGGGUUACCAAAGGGAAGUAGGACUUCUUCCGAUGAGACUUUAGCUAAAGCUAUAUGCGCCUGCCAUUCACAACCUUUGUCCAUGAUGGAGGUAAAUUAACUUCAGCAUAUAAUCUUCUCAUAAAACUUAUAUUUCUUUGUAUUUUACAUUUCUGGUUAAUUACUAGUCAUUUUACAUCAUAGUAAAGCAUUUUGUCAUUCAUUUUUUUUCUGGAGAACUGAUGGAGCAAUAGGUUAGGUAGUUUACCUUCAGUUGGUUUUUGGGAUAAAUUAUCACAAAGGUCUCCGUGCUUGAAGGUAUGGCAAUAUGAGGAUCUUUUGUGGAAUAUAGCUUUUUCUUGGUUCUAUACAGUAUGCUCAGAAUGCAUCAAAUAUAAUCAGUCUGGCUGAGCUUCUUGGCACUCGCAUUUCUGAUCAUGCUCAAGAGACACCAAACGAGCUUUUUGAGGAUAAGAUCAAGUGCAUGUCUACCAUAUAUUGCAAGCUUGCAGAUCCACCUUUGAUCCAAAAUGGCUUUUCUACUCCCAAUUCAUCCAUGUCACCAGCCAUUGCUUUUUCCCACUGGAUCAGCAUGACAUUUGGAGUCUAGGGUUUAGAAAUAAUUCAUCUUUUGAUGUACGGUUAGAUAACCCUUUCCAUGUGGAAGGACUUGAGGAGUUUAAUGGACCAUAUAGCACAAUGGUUAAAGUGCCAUGGAUUUUCAGAGAUAGUCAGAAACUGGUGAUGUGGAACACGUGCAUGGUCAUUCUUUAUCACUCUCGGUUUAACUUUUAAUCUGUCAUAUAAUUGCAUUGGUGUUGAUGAAUGUUUCUGUUUUAACAGGUUCCACAUGUCAACUGAACUGACUACCAGUUAAAUGACAUUUCUGAUGAUGGAUUUGUAAGUUCAUUUGCUUCUUUUUUGCUUGAUGUUUUAUGUAUCUGUUCAAUAGCUACUGGUGAGGCUUUCUUGCAACUUUUUUUUACCCGCCGACUUAGAAAUAUACUAUUCUAGAAAUACAAUGGAUAACAUUAGAGCUUCCUUUUAAGUCGUUAAACCUUCCUGUAGCUGCAAUUUUUACAUAGAAGUACAGUGGAUGGCAAUAGCCAAUUUGAUAAAUUCUGGAUGCUCUAGAGUGAAACCUUUCCUUUACGUCAUUACGUUCCUUCCUACAGUAUACUCAGGCACUCUCUUUUUUGUGC